rnacentral:rRNA from 1 species
AACGCUGGCGGCGUGCCUAACACAUGCAAGUCGAACGCGAAAGGGGCUUCGGUCCUGAGUAGAGUGGCGAACGGGUGAGUAACGCGUGGGUGAUCUACCUUCGAGUGGGGGAUAACGUUCCGAAAGGGGCGCUAAUACCGCAUGACGUUCUGGGUUUAAAGACCUGGAAACCAAAGCCGGGGACCGCAAGGCCUGGCGCUUGAAGAGGAGCCCGCGUCCGAUUAGCUAGUUGGCGGGGUAACGGCCCACCAAGGCGACGAUCGGUAGCCGGCCUGAGAGGGCGGACGGCCACACUGGGACUGAGACACGGUCCAGACUCCUACGGGAGGCAGCAGUGGGGAAUUGUUCACAAUGGGCGCAAGCCUGAUGACGCAACGCCGCGUGGGGGAUGAAGGUCUUCGGAUUGUAAACCCCUGUCGAAUGGGACGAAAGACCCGCGAUUUAAUACUGCGCGGGAAUGACGGUACCGUUAAAGGAAGCCAC